rnacentral:rRNA from 1 species
UACGUAGGGGGCAAGCGUUAUCCGGAAUCACUGGGUGUAAAGGGUGAGUAGGCGGCUUGGUAAGUCAUAUGUGAAAUUCCGAUGCUUAACAUCGGAACUGCAUAAGAAACUGUCAGGCUAGAGUAUGGGAGAGGUAAGUGGAAUUCCUAGUGUAGCGGUGAAAUGCGUAGAUAUUAGGAGGAACACCAGUGGCGAAGGCGACUUACUGGACCAAAACUGACGCUGAGUCACGAAAGCGUGGGGAGCAAACAGG